AUACGCAUAUUAGACGAGUGUAAAAGUAAGUGAUUAU
rnacentral:guide_RNA from 1 species